rnacentral:lncRNA from 1 species
AAUAGUUGAAUGAAUGAAAAUAAUAAAUAAUCUCGCUAUGAACAGACGAGAGAAAAGAACACAGCCAGAAGAGAGAUCACUACAUUUUUCAUUUCAUAUUUCUGAAAGCCCAUUAUAGGCAUUCUUCCGGGCUGAUAAAGAUUACAGACUUGUUAUGUAACGUAUCUGGGCUCAAAUUUAUUUUGUCAACCAGGCGUCCAGGCCGGCAAAUAUCAACAUGUGUCCACAAUCGCCGGAAUGGAAAUCUAGAAAUUCAUCGGAUAAUAACAUUUCCCGCCAUAUCCAGCGACUUCUUAUUUUUUUUGAUAAAAAGGAAUCAAUUCAUUAAUUAAAAGCCAUACGGCAUCUACAAAUAUAAUCGAAAUUGGACAGACGCCGAAUAAUAUCGCUGUUGAAUCCUUUCUUCUUGAAGAGGCAACUAAGCGAUUUGAAGAUGAUUUGAAUAUACACACUUGUUUCCAUCUGAUUGGUUUUCACCUGAAUGUUCUGAACAAUCGACCAUAGAUGCGAUCCCAUAAUAACCUUCAAACCUGAAUCAAACCCAUGAAAAUCAUGCCGAUCUAUAACCUCGGUCAUGAAAAACAUAAAAACACACCAAAACAAAACAAACCAACUCUCACAAGAAGGAGAGACUAACAAAACCCAAAUAAAUUGGGAACUUAUUGAAUAGAAAAUAAGAUUUCAAAAUAAGAAAGUAGAAGAAAAGAAAUCGGGGCUUUCCACCGGUGGAAACCGAUGGAAGCCCCUUCAAAAAUAUGUGAUGGAGGCUAGGGUUUUGAGAGAGAGUGGGAGAAAAAGAACGGAGAGAUCCAGCGACUUACUUCUUAUUGCUGAGUAUUUAUAUUCAGCAAUUUUUUCACUGACAGUGUAACUUUUAAUAAUCAUUCAACGUUUUUCAAUAUUGGACAACUGUAUAGUUAAAUAACCAAACUAUCCUCAUCCCUCGUAAAAUUCUAGAAUAAUCAUUUUACUUCCAUUAUAAUCAAAAACUUGUAAUGAACCCAUAGAAAAAUCGUAAUCGUAUUAAAAUAUCACAUACAAAAGUUUUAGGGGCCGUUUGAGUGAAUUUAAAAUAAGUGAUUCUUGCGUAAAAAAAUUGAAGUCUUAAACUCACAUUUAGGUAAUGUGUCAAAAAAUGCACUCCAACACUAUCAUAGUGUUAUCCUAAAUCACUAGCACAACCUUAAUUCUCCUAGCCAUUAGAGCAUCUCCAAUGGUGCUCUUAAGUCACUCUUCAAAAUAUAAUAUAAUAUUUGGCUCCUAGUGAGUUAAGACGUUGAAAAAGAUUUCAACUCCAAUGCUCUUCUUUAUACUUGCUCCUUAUUCAUAUUUUAUUCAUAUAAAAGAGAGAGAAAAGUAAAAAGAGAGAAUUGUUGGGAGUAAAGUUGGAGGGAAACCAAUAUUAUAUUCAUGAAAAAGAAGUUAAGAGCUCUUACAUGCUCUUUAAAAGAGAGGAGAGAUGUUAAGCUCUUAAUUUUUUAAAGAGCUUCUAAGAGCCCAUUGGAGCUCUAAUUCUUGCAUUGCUCUUUAAAUUUGAAGUUAAAAGCUCAUUUAGAGAGCCCCUUGGAGAUGCUCUUACCUAUUUAUAAGUAACCCCUAGCCAUUACCUAUUUAAUAUUUAUGAAUAAAAUAAUCUUCUUUCUCUUUUUUCUUUGUCUAUUCUCUCUUUUUCACCUUUUCUCUCUCAAAUUUAUUAUUAAAAUAAUCUUAGGAGAACAAAAAUAAGGAUUACUAUUGGAGUUGACACUAAAAAUAGAUUACCUUAUUGCGUGAGCUCGUGGGUUUACCCAGUGCGCACCCGAAGGGUAGCAGCUGCGGGUUCCUACGUUAAAAAAAAAUAAAGAAAAAUAAAUAGAUUACCUAAAUCACUAAGACAUACUGACACUCAUUAUUUUAUAUUAUUUAUUUUAUAUUAUUUAUAAGUAAUAGGAUAGGUAACCUAUUGGACUUGCUCUUAGAAGUUAGUUAAAGCUGGUAAGUGAUUAAAAUGUUUGGGAAAAAGGUAGGAGCUAUGAAACAAAAAUUAGGAAUCCAGUGAUUAAAAUGUUUGGGAAAAAGGUAGGAGCUAUGAAACAAAAGUUAGGAAUCCUAAUUUUUUAUAAGUGCUUCUCGAUUUUUUACACAAACGAUACGAAUAAGUUCUUCUAACUUAAAACUAUUGAAACCAAACACCCACGUAGUAUUAUAAUAACACAAAAAUGAUCUUGAUCAACUCACCACAAAGAAAAAAAGAACAAAAUCAGAUUGUUCGGCGGCAUGCACUUGCUCCUCUUUUCUAACGAACGCAUGAACCUCGUCAAGUAAACUCAUAACAAGACCAAACAUGAAACAACACCUAUAAGACUCAAAAACGUGUUAGAAAUAGUGUGUGAUCACAAUUUAGAACAGAACAAUCCGAACAGAUGAUGGAAAUUUACGUUAUUAUUUUAGCAUUGAAAAUUCGGAAGUUGAAGACUCCAGUCGUCAAACGUUGCAAGUGCAGCAUUAUCCUUGACGUAGUGCCAUGUUUGGCGUAAACCAU